UUUCACACUGCACAGCAUUAGAAGGGAGUGCCUCAUGCUGGCUAUAAGCCCCUGAACCUUAGCCUGAACACCAGCAAAAUCUGGACAAGGGGCAGCUGUAUCACUACAGUGCUGAUGCACACUUCAAGAGGCAGCAAAACAAACCAAAAAAGAAAAAAUCCAAGCCUGUGGAAAAGCAAAAGUCACUCGUUAAGAGCACAACUUCUACUCAUUAAGAAAGCUGCAGUACACAGUAACUCCGCAGUGGAGAUUUGGUCCUCAGCCUAAGAAGUUUAAUGAUGAAUGACAGAAGACAAGUUGUAUGGGUAGUACUUCAAAAGCCUCUGAGUGAAACAACGUAACAGUGGGCACAUGUAAUUAAACAAGCUGACUAUGGAGGCUACAAAUGGACUGAGUGCCAGGUUGAUCUGCCACCUGAGAGAUGUGCCACUGGUUGUGCCAAGUGUCAGCUACCAAUGCCUUUACUGCUGCAGCAUUUGUUUCCACUUGCAUUAUUGAAAAUCUGUGUAAAGGUGACCCAAACUCACCCUGCCAGCCUCCGCAUGGACA